rnacentral:rRNA from 1 species
UUGGAGGGCAAGUCUGGUGCCAGCAGCCGCGGUAAUUCCAGCUCCAAUAGCGUAUAUUAAAGUUGUUGCAGUUAAAAAGCUCGUAGUUGAAUUUCGGGAUCAAUCUGUUGGUCGUGCCUUUGGUACGUACUAGCUUAUUGAUUACUCCCUUCUGACGAACCAUGAUGUCAUUAAUUUGGUGUCAUGGGGAAUCAGGACUGUUACUUUGAAAAAAUAGUGUUUAAAGCAGGCUCACGCUUGAAUACAUUAGCAUGGAAUAAUGAAAUAGGACGUUUUGAUUCUAUUUUGUUGGUUUCUAGGAUCGACGUAAUGAUUAAUAGGGAUAGUUGGGGGCAUUAGUAUUCAAUUGUCAGAGGUGAAAUUCUUGGAUUUAUUGAAGACUAACUACUGCGAAAGCAUUUGCCAAGGAUGUUUUCAUUAAUCAAGAACGAAAGUUAGGGGAUCGAAGACGAUCAGAUACCGUCGUAGUCUUAACCAUAAACUAUGCCGACUAGGGAUCGGAUGAUGUUAAUUUUUAAUGACUCAUUCGGCGCCUUACGGGAAACCAAAGUGUUUGGGUUC